rnacentral:lncRNA from 1 species
AUAUUAUCCUCAUUCCUACAAUUACUAAGAUGUCGCUGUCUGGAUUCUGCAUAAUUUAAAUAGCACAUGGAUGUAGUUGGUUUUUUGCUAAUUAAUAACUUUAACUGCCACCGCCAGCAGAAUAGUUAAAAAUGUCAACCGGAAUGUUUCAGUUUCUCAUAUGGCAGCAUGAUGGCUGAGGGCAAUCUGAUUUUGGAGUCUUUUCUGCAAAUUAGUUGUGAGGAUUUUGCCAUAUCUUGAUGCAUUGCUUGCCAAUGCGAAUUGAAAAUUCCCCUUAGUCCCUUUUAAAAAGCUCCUUCCAUGGGUAGCAAAGUCACUUGGGGUUUACAAAAAAAUCAAUUUAAUAUUCCUAAUUAAUAGAACCAGGAAAAUUAGAAAUGAUAUAAUUUAUUUUAGGUUUUUUCCAAGUUAAUGAUAACUAAUUGACCUUUUUUUCCAUUGUUAUGUCUUUCAUAUCUCUAAUUGAUAUGGAUUUACAAUAGAUGUGCUUGUUUUGGGAUUUUUUUACAGAUAUUCUGCCAAUGCAGUUCCACCAAAUAUUGCUCCUUGUAUCCUUGAAUUCUCAUAUUCAGUCUAAUUCACUCUUUAUUGUUUGCCUGAUUUCUGUAUUAAACAUUAUUUGUUGUUCUUGUGGAUGGUUGAGUUUGAUAUCUUCCUCCUUUUAUUAGGACUGUGCAAAGGCCUCGGUCUCAAUUUAUUUUGCUUCCUGUUUCUUCAAUAAUUUGCAAAAGUCUUAUUCCCAUCCCCCUCUAGAAACGUGGGACAAGAAGUUCAUGGUGGCCAUGCUAUAUUUUCCUCUUUUGGCCAAUUCACGGGAGUAUUGACUUGGCUAAAACUGAAAAUGAUAUGAUUCUCAUUUGGAUUAAUAUCUUGAUCAAAAUUAGAAUGAUAUUUUUGUUUCUUUCUAUUAGUUAGAAUAUGAUCGCAGAGAUGCAGGGAAUGUACUUGGUCACAUCUUCCUUUUCAAAUAACCUUAUCUUAGAUCAAUUUUGCGUACUAUGUGGAUUACCACAUCCACAAAUUUUUGUAUGCAUAUACCUUUUAUUUGGGUGCAACAUUGGUCCAUCUACUAGUGGAACAGAUAAAUCUUUUAAUGAUCAUUCAUGACUUCGGCUCUGUAGAGUUGUAGUCUGUCUGGAAAAUUGCAGCCUUUUUAUUAUGAUGUGUAUGCAGUUGAUGUUCUACUAUAUUUCUCAUAGGAAACCAUGUCAGUACUGAUUGUGGAAAACUUUUUUUGUUCUAGUAUUUGCAAUGUACAUUUGGUCAGAGUUAGUCAAUGUCCAGCUGUAUUUAUCUUCAAGCUACAGUGUCAAAAGUGUUCUGAUGUUCAAAUUCCUUGACUCGAAAUCUAAGACUUGAAUAUCGAGCCUAGCCAGCGAAGCUAUUAUCCAACUGUCUUCUUCAAUGAGUUUUGGUUACUUCGAGAUAAGUUAAUACCAAUCAACGAGACAGUGGAGGAGUUACCACUGCAUCUGGAAGUAGGUCCCAUAAGCAUGACCAAAUGGCAGCUAUUCCUGCAGAUGGAUCAAUCUUUCCAGAUCCACAGGACUUAUGGAAGCAUGCUGGAAGGCGAAGCUGAUGAACUUAAGGUAUUUAUUUAAUAUUAUCCUGCAGUAACUUGACAUGCAUAAGGGUUCGGAUGGGAUAACAUUCAGUAUCACGAGAUUCACCCUGUUGUUUAACACUGUAGACCUGCAGAUAACUAGAAGAAAUUUGGAAAUUUUGCUGAAAGCAAGUACUUUGGAAGGUUGCUUUGCAAGUGCAAAAGUUAAGGAAUCAAUUGAAAGAUAUAUGAUUGCAAUUCCAAAGGAAAAGAAGAAAAUGUAAAAUUAAGGCUAUUGAAGAGAAAAAAGUAACAACACGAUAAUAGUUAAUUAGCAUAGGACGGUUUACUUUCAUAUCCGGGAAUAUGUUUUAUGCUUUUAAGGAUCCUUCAAUAGAAUUUGGGUGGACCUUUGUUCAAGAUUCAUACUUGAGUACUAGACUGAUUAGGAGAUGAUGUUGUAAGAUCAUUCAACCAUACAUAUUAAUGCCUCUCUAGUCAUUUGAGUAAAAUAUUUAACAUAUUGUAAUUUGUAAGUUUUCACUGCAAUUUGUAGGCUGCUCUUUGUUUAGUGUGUGCGAUUUUAGUAAAUGUCAUAGGAUUCUAAUGUUAUGAAUGCUACUUCUUUCUUCUUUCUGCUUUCUGCAGUCAUUCUGCAUCUUUAUAUCUUAUGUGGGGUUUUGAUUCAUUUGAUUAUUUUCGCAGAGAGUCUUCCUGGAAGGGAAUCCAUACCUUCUGGCAGUAACAAUGGUUGUUUCAGUGCUACAUUCUGUAUUUGACUUCUUGGCUUUCAAGAAUGGUAAUGGCAAUGGUUGUAGUGUUUUUGGAUCUUACCAUGGAAUUGCUUUUUCUGCCAUAUGAAAAUACGAUAUUUCUGUGCAGAUAUUCAGUUUUGGAAUAAAAACAAGUCCAUGGAAGGACUGUCUGCAAAGUCAGUUAUCGUCAACUUUAUUUGUCAGCUUAUUGUCUUCCUCUAUCUUCUUGACAAUGAAACUUCAUGGAUGAUACUUGCAAGUUCUGGUAUUGGUUGCUGCAUUGAGUUCUGGAAAAUAGGAAAAGCCAUGCACAUUGAGGUAUAACUUCUACGAAUAAAGUUUCAUCUAGACUUCUACAUUUGAAACUUUGGAAAAGUUUAUUGACUUAAACAUUUAGCUCCUCUUUCAUAUUUGACUAACCUAAUACUAGUACCAUGACGCAAAUUGUUGAUAUUGUAAUAUUAUGUGGCUUGUGAAAGCAUUACUUGGUCAUCAAUUUCUUAACACUGCUUGUUAAUUAUUACAUAGAUUGAACUAGAAUUGCUAUAUUCAUCCGUUUCAUAUCGUCUUCUUGACCAGCUUGACAGUUCUGGUAAGAUACCAAUGUUGAGGUUCCGAGACCGGGAGUCAUAUGCUAAAAACAAGACGAAGGAAUAUGAUGAUCUUGCUAUGAAGUAUUUGUCAUACAUUCUUUUCUUGCUUGUUGCCUGUUUCUCUGUGUACUCCCUGAAGUAUGAACGCCACAGGAGUUGGUACUCUUGGAUUCUCUCAUCCCUUACUAGCUGUGUUUAUAUGUUCGGUAAGCAUCUCAGAUCUUGACAAUUUUAUUUUCCCUUUCUACUUUAUUCUCUCAAUUAAGACCUAACUUCUAUUCAUGUAAUUUUUUUUCCGGUUUUCGUGAAUGAGGAAAUCUUUAGAAUCCUCACGGUCCCCUACUUUCACUUCUCACCUCUCAUUGUACUUUUGUUGAUUACAUUGCAUUCUUUAUCAGGGAUUUGAAAUUUUGUUUCAUGCUGAUUUGCUUUUUACUAAGUGAUUAACUGUGUUAAAGUAAUUAUGGACCAAAGCAUGCAGUUUCUAUGAUAUAACUAAAUAAUUCAGGAAGGAAGAGAAAAAUAAUCUGUUGAAUCUACUAAUCGUUAGGCAAGAGAAAUUAAAUUGUCAUAAAGGAAUGAAGUGGAAAUUUAUCUGUUGAAUCAAAUAAAAAGUUGGGCAACAUGAGUGAAUUGAACUGCAUCUAUUUGCCUAAUAUUGGUUCUCUGGAGGGACCAUAACACAGUGCUAGUUAUGGGGUGGAAAAAUUAUAUUUUAACAAUGAGAUUGUUUGAAUUGUUCGUUUCCAGAUAGGAGGAAUCAACAAAACUUGUUAGAUUCCCAUAAGUUUCUUGCCUUUAUAGGGCUUAUGGUUUAUAAUUUUGUUCCUCUAUUCAGCUUGUAUAGUGGGGUUACCCCUUCCAUGUUGAAAAGAAACAAAUAAAGGAAUUUGCAUUGCAGACCAUAGAAUUUGAUUCAUCGUGAUUUUCAUCAGAGUCUUCUCAAUAGUCCAACAGCACUCUUUAAUACUAAUUGUUGGUAGAAUAUUGGAAAUAAUAUAAUUAUUUUUCAUUGAUUCUCUGCAGGUUUUAUUAUGAUGUGCCCUCAAUUGUUCAUCAAUUAUAAGCUGAAGUCUGUCGCGCAUUUACCUUGGAGGCAAAUGACAUACAAAUUUCUAAACACGAUCAUUGAUGAUCUCUUCGCAUUUGUAAUUAAAAUGCCAACACUGCAUCGGCUUUCUGUUUUCCGUGAUGGUGAGUUACUGAUCAAGACUUUGUAUGCCUUUAUUCCUGUGAUAUUUGGAUAAAAGGGCGUAUGCUGAAAUUUAGUAAUAGUAAUACAAAUACUGAUUGAUGGCACUAUUUAAAGUUUUAGCCUUUUAGGUCAACUUGUGAAUUCAAGCAUUUUACAUAAAAACAAGUUUUUAACUUGUAUAGCCAUUGUAACAUGGUAGGAAAACUCAUAAAGAGCCCACAUUUGAUAUGGACGUAAACGGCUGAAAAAGUUAAACACACACAUUUGAUAUGGAUGUUAAGGCUGAAAAAGUUAAACGUAGGAGUGUGUAAGAAUCUGAUGAGGUUUAAGUGUACAAGGCAGGGUAAUUUUAGCCCCUGUUUGACAACCAUUAAAAUGAGUUUUUUGUGGGAAAAAUGAGUUGAUUUUUUUUGGAGAAUGUGUGGUUAAAAAGAAGGAAAAAGUUUCUAUUUAUGUUCAGAACAUUUUAUCCCGAGAAUAUGUGAUUGAAAAUGAGUUUAAGAAAAAAAGAAUGUUGUUUUAAUGAUUAUCAAACGGGGGCUUAGUGUUAUUUGUACAGUAAUAUUAGAAUAAUUUUUGGGAUUGUGUUAGGUUUUAAGGACUUGAGAGAAGUUGACAGGUUUGAUAUUGAAGAGAGAAUCAUUUUCUAGAUUGACAACAAAUAAUGAGUCUAGUAAUAAUGGAAUUUCAGCAUUUUUUUGGCUAAGUACCUUUUAAGUACACUUUGAACCCCAUGCUUGAAUAUAUUCUAGACAUCCAUUUUCUUGUUCAAAUGAUGUUCCAAAUACAAUUUAAUGCUAUUGGCUAGAAUUGGUCCUUGCAAUCAACUAGUGAAUUUUAAUACUGCAAACUUAUCCCUUUUGGCUCAAAAAAGGGUGGCAAAAAUUACAGAUCUUAAUUGCUUCAUCAGCUCUCUCUUUUCUCCCUUUUUGACCCAAUGGUGGUAUCAGCAACGGAAUUUAGCUUAUGCCUUUGCUGAACACCAACUCUAUAAGUGUAACACAGUUACACAGGAAUACUGCUGAACCACAUGGCCUCGUGUUUGAAACCGGUGUAGGGAUGCUCUGAUAAGUUCUGUUCUGGUAUUAGGUCUUGAUUUUGAAAGGUAAUAUAAAAUUGAUAUGUCAAACUAUAUAUGGUAAUAAUCUUGAAGUCUAAUUAAUUAACAUCUUUAUAUCAUCACUAGUAUCUGUUUGGUGGUCUAAAUACAUCUAAUAUUCAUUGUUUAUAACAUGGUAUUCUUUCAGUUGGGGAUUCAGUUUUGCAUCUGCUAUUUUGGGUUUAUGUAUAUGACAUGUUUGUUAUCUCUUUGGCUUGCAGAUAUCAUAUUUUUGAUAUAUGUGUAUCAACGAUGGGUUUAUCCAGUGGACAAGAAAAGAGUAAACGAAUUUGGUUUCGCUGGGGAGGAUGAUCAUGCCUCUAGUAGUCCAGAUGCUAUAGAACAAAAGGAAGAUGAGAAGAAAACUAACUAAUCUUGUUUCAUUGAAACUUUUUGAUAUUUUAAUUGCAUAAAAAAAGAAGUAAAAUUAUGACCUAAUAUUCAUUUUCAUCUCUAGUUAUGUACUUGUCAGAGAGUUUCUCUGUAGGUAUUAAUUAUUUUGAGACGUUCCAUUCGAUAAGUUUCACAUACAUGAAAGAUUGCCUCUCUGAUAAUGAUAUGGUUGGUUUCUAAAGUUCUGUAAUUUGUUGUUACUAAAAUAUGCCAUUUGAUGGGAAUGGGAGAUUGAAAUUUAGAGAAGA